AGAACACUGGUUCUCAUAUGAUCACCUAUGUUAAGCAAUGUUGAACCUGGUCAGUAACUAGAUGAGUGACCUCCUGGGAAUACCAGAUGCUGUAAG